rnacentral:lncRNA from 1 species
GAAAUAAGAGGGGGAAGAUCUACGCAUAACGGACGUGAACUACUGGUGAUCAAAUGAAUGAUCCUGAACACCUACCUACGUCAGACAUAACCCCACCGUGUCCUCGAUCGGAGAAGGAACUCACGAAAGAGACAGUCACGGUUACGCACACGGUUGGCAUAUUUUAAAUAAUUAACUUCAAGUUAUCUAGAACCAGUGUUAAACAAAGUUUCCACGUUGCCACAUAACCGCGGGCACGGCUUUCCGAAAGAUUUAACCCUGCAGGGGUGCUCCAACUAGU